ncrna:Vibrio fischeri ES114 Fluoride riboswitch
CCAAAUACGGGUGAUGGAUUUCCACCUUUAACCGCUCUAUUUUUAGAGAUAAUGAUUCCUACUAUAGC